GCCUAUUAAACAGUGGUUGAUAAACAAACUCAGGAAAUGAACUGUUAUGGACAGCAGUUUAAUUCUCCGUGCAAUAACUCCACACUGCUCAAUUAAUUUGAAAAUUAGUUUCCCGAAUCCACCCUCUUAGAGAUUUGUCACAGAACGUUUAAGCCUGAGGGGGACCGGGAGCUUUGUUAAUGUCCUCAUUUGCAGACACGGAAAUGAAGUUCAGAGGAGGUAGAUGAGCCUCACUGGACACCCUGCUCGUUAAUGGAAGUGCUUUAGCCUCUCACGCCUGCAACUGGACUCUUCCUUCCACCAUGAUGUCUUUCAGAAGAAAAUUGAGAGAGAGAGAGAGAGAGAGAUCAAAGGGAUUCGGCAACUGAAAUGGAGACAACUCCAGGGAAGCAACACAACUACUGUCACUUAAAAGCGAAUCUUUGCUGCUGCCUCAGCUUACAGAGAACAGAAGCUAGAGGUGCUAUAAAGACUUCACUGAGCCAAGAAACCUGAGUUGACCCCCAAAGGAGGUGGGGAGUUGGAUAAAUGCUUAUGGUUCUUCACAAAAAGACCAUGGCUAGGCUGAAGUAUCUCAACAGUUUCUUUUGGUAGGUAAUAAAGUUCUGCUUAAAGACAAUUAAAUACUUGUGUGACCUUUAACCUUGGAUCACUGUCAUUUUCAAUGGUCUGCACUGCUGUGGUGUUCCUUUUCUCAUAAGCCAGCACGAAGCACCCACCUAGAGGUGAAGCACAGAAGGAUGGUGACCAACUCUUCCUUAAAUUAUUGCAAUGCCUUAUUUUCAAACUGAUUUUUUUUUACUUUUUAUUAAAUUAUAACGUGCGUAUAUCAAAGUGCCUAAUGCAUAAUGUAGUCCCUAAAAAAUUAAAUAAAUAAAUAAAAUUUAAGCGGUAAUAAGAGGAGCUGAGUUACAAAUCAUGGUAUAUAAUAUUCAUGGUAUACUAAAUCAUAAGCUCUAUUAACUUUUACAAACUGAAUAUACCCAGUAUAAUCAGCACUGAGAUCAAGAAACAGAACAGCACCAGAACCCCAGAAGACCUCCUUUUGCCUCCUUUCAACUAUUACCUUCUAAGACUUACCACCAUUCUAACACCU
rnacentral:lncRNA from 10 species